rnacentral:misc_RNA from 1 species
GAUGAAGAACGUAGCGAAAUGCGAUACUUGGUGUGAAUUGCAGAAUCCCGCGAAUCAUCGAGUUUUUGAACGCAAGUUGCGCCCGAAGCCAUUCGGCCGAGGGCACGUCUGCCUGGGUGUCACGCAUCGUUGCCCCCCCAAACUCCGGUUCGGGCGGGGCGGAAGUUGGCCUCCCGUGCGUGCCUGCGCGCGCGGUUAGCCCAAAAGCGAGUCCUCGGCGACGAGCGCCACGACAAUCGGUGGUUUUUUUACCCUCGUUCCUCGUCGUGCGUGUCCCGUCGCCCGAACGCGCUCUUGUGACCCUCACGCGUCGCCUCGGCGGCGCUCCCAACGCGACCCCAGGUCAGGCGGGACUACCCGCUGAGUUUAAGCAUAUCAAUAAGCGGAGA